rnacentral:rRNA from 1 species
UACGGGGGGAGCAAGCGUUGUUCGGAUUUACUGGGCGUAAAGGGCGCGUAGGCGGCCACCGCAAGUCGACUGUGAAAUCUCCGGGCUUAACCCGGAAAGGUCAGCCGAUACUGCGGGGCUAGAGUGCAGAAGGGGCAACUGGAAUUCUCGGUGUAGCGGUGAAAUGCGUAGAUAUCGAGAGGAACACCAGUGGCGAAGGCGGCUCACUGGCCCGGUACUGACGCUGAGGUGCGAAAGCGUGGGGAGCAAACAGG